UAAGAGAUCUGAUGUUCUGAGGCUGGAACAACAUAGGUCCUUUUCUGUGACUUCCAUCUUUCAUUGUUAUGUGGUUAUGUUUCGUAUGGGUACGAAAGUGCAAGGUAGUCUGUGUCUUAGAGCUUCUUAUGUUUGUGUCUACAUGUCUGUGUCACAGUUUUUGCACCUAGUUUUGUGUUGUGUUAUGCUGUUAGGUCGUUGGUGUAGCCGCGUUGUGAGCAGCUGUGGCCUGUGCGGUUGCGGGCUGUGUGGUGUAUUGCUGUUUUCCUACGACAAAUGUAUGAAAGGAAGUGCCUCUGUCGCCAGGUAAUUCGCUCUGGGUUGUCAUUGGAGCCGACUAUGACAAAACUUUCAAUUGAAAUGUAAUAUUCUCUUGUUAUUUCAUGCUGUGAACGUAAAAGUGACACGUUUUUUACUGUUGCCAAACACACAAACGACAGGCGUGUCUCAAAUGUUUAUGAGAACCAAGACGGCGUAGAAAAACGUGUUCGAGAAGACAGAAUAGGAGAGGUGCAUGGCCAGGAUGUUUUCCAGGGGGGGAACAGAGGACGUAGACAGAAAUAAAAAGGAAUCAUAGUUUGUUUGUUUGGGGGCAAUGGCCCAGCCUUGUUUCAGUAAUUGAUCAUGGAUAUAAUAUGUGAAUCAUAGUUGUUUCUUGUUUAUAAUUGUUCCUAUAGUGCAAUAUAAUUGUUUACAGUGUUUUAGCUUAUGACAAUACACUCAGAAAUUGUUCCACAUGAGCUACGAGCUACAUAUGUAACAAACAUCAACAUAUUGAUCAUUAGGGCCCAGAAGCUCAUGCAAAAUGCAUAUUUUAAGAAUGCGUUCAAAAGGAUAUCAUAGCAUUUCUCCAUGCAUUACCAACCACAACAUAAAAUCUGCAAUGUUUCAUGUGUCAUAUGGGCGCAUAUUUCGCCAUGUUAGUUCCUGGUCACCGUAUUGUAUGACUGUUGCAUAUGGUGUCAUAUUUCGGCAUCAUUUGGUUGCAAAUGUCAUAUUUCCGUGCCAUUUGGCUGAAUAUUAUGUAAUCUUUCUGUGCCAUUUGAAUCAGUUUUUAACAUUUCCUUUGUUGUGCCACAAUAUCUUUGCAACUGCAACUUUGUUUUGCCACUAUUCACGUUAGUUCAAAAGAGAGGUCAUCGGCCGAAAACCCACGUUCCAGUUAGACAUCUAAGCUGCUACCAGACUUGUGCCUGUUACUCGGAAAAAUAAUUGAUUACCGUUACUUCUACAAAAAAGGUAAUUGAUUACCGUUACCAGUUACUCGGCUCCAAAUGUAAUUGGGUAACGAGUAGAAAAGUAGCGCGUUACUACGGCCGUUACUUUGCAUUCACACACAUUAAACCUGCCUUUCUGUGCCUCAGAGAAGAAGGAAAGAGAGAGAGAGAAAACAGGUUAAACAGCGGAGCAGCUGAAAUAAUACGAAAAAGAAAAAUGUAGGACAAGUAGAUCUGGACGUCCGCUGUAUUUAUCACCAGGGAAGACAUUGACUCUAUUCUGGAAGAGCAAUGCAGGGAACUUCACAAUGACUCACUAAACCUCCAAAGCUUCAGGUUCCACCACACAGGUGUGUAGGAAGAGAUUAGGGAGAGAGACCCUGAAAUUCCAGAACGUUAUUACAAUGGCCUCUGCGUGCUAUAGUUGAACGUCCCAACAAGGGCUGACAGCAAGAGGGGCAUGACUUUGGGCAGAGCAUCUGAAAGAUAAGGUAAUCGCUGCCGGAAAAGUAAUCAAUUACUGAGUAAUCGAUUACUCAGAAAAGUAAUUGAUUACUCAAAAAAUUACUUUGACAUUAAAGUAACUGAUUACUCAAAAAAGUUAUUGAUUACAAGUAACACGUUACGCACAUGUCUGGCUGCUACACUGCUUUUAGGCUGCAUUUUGCUAUGUAAUCUGUGGGUUCAGAUGGCACCACUAGCACCCAGAAGAAAAUUCUAAAAGCAGGGUGCCAUUACUGAAGCCAAUGAAUGGGACAGUGAAGAGUUGUCUGCGCAAGGUGUAGGUAGCUAGCUAGUCCGCCCGAAUAACAUCCAGCUACAUACCACACAUUUUUGUGGUAUAUUGCUUUCUUCACUAGAUUCUUAACUCAUCCCAUGUAGAAAUGCAUAUGUAUGUGUGUUGCACUGUUGAAAAUCCCAAGUAUGGUGGCAAUAAUGGCAUAUGAUAAUGGCCAACGAAUAAUACCUGAGUAGGCACAUCUAAACGUAUACUCCCCAAAUGCGAAUAAGGAACAUGCAUUUCCAUUUGUAUAACACUCUUAGACAAUUUACGUAUUUACAGUUCCCAGUUACAAGAAAGCUCCUGGAGGAACAUUCCCGGCAACAUAAUAUAUCUGCAUAUUUAGACAUUUCAUGCUAUAUUCUGCAUGCUAUAUUCAUGCAAGAUUCUUGGCGCAUAAAGUCCCGGGCCCUAUUGAUUAUGUUGAGUGUUCACAAACUAGCUGUGCCCAUCACCAGUUCAUGGGUGGCAUAUAGUAUACCUAAGCUCAUCCAUGAAAACAGGAUGCUGUUAUGUGUUCCACUUUUCUGUUCAUGAAAUGCUCAAAAGUGAAGUGCUUUGGAAGAAAUCAUUUGCCAAAAGAAGACAGUAAGAGAGAAAUAACAAUACAUGUACUCACACUUCAAUUUUUUGGAACUAGCAGGUCACAUCCUGCUUCAAACAGGAACUACAAAAAUAAACUCACAGUACAUGACAAAAUGCACGGGUUAAAAACUUGGGUGGCCCCUGGCAUUGUCUAUUUAAAGUAUGUGUGGUCAAACCCAGUGUGGUGCACUUCUCCGUGGUUCAGCAGUAAAGAUGCUACUUCAUUUCUACUUUCAUGUGUUGGCUUUGCCAUGUGUGUUGCUGACACUCUGGAGGUUUUCUUCCUGUUGCUUGUGAACCGUGGCUGGGGUGUUAUUUUUUUGUUUGGAGCUUGUCUUUGCAGAGGUACUGAAGUAGUCGAACUGCAUGAUGCUACAGAUUCAAGGAGUGGACGCAAUGUAGACUUGACUGUUUCCUUUGUUGCUGCAUCUACUACUGUGGAUUGAAGCUGAUGAAAUAAGGCCCCAGCCAUUAGGAUAUGGCUUUUGUCUUCACUAUCGUUGUCACUAUCAUUACCAUUGCCCUGUAUAACAUCAACAGUGACUAGUGACUCCAUGAGGCUUUCACUGUUGCAUACCUGCAAAGAGGAAAGAUGAAACAAACAUCACUGCAAGGUAGUGAAUCCAAUACUACUGCUGUGGCACAAAGCAUGAUGAGGCACGCAAAAAGAUAAGAUUUUAUGAAGAGGUAUUGAUAUCAAAUACUCAUUGUAGUAGUCAUUGUACUAAAAGUGCUGAAAGUGCAAGAAGAUAUUAUACUCAUGCAAACACAAUCACGCUUGUGUGCACCUGUCACCUUUUUUCAUGUUUUUAGAAAUUUUAGCACAAUGACUGAUUACCAACAUAGUCAGAUACACAAUUAGGUGCCAGUGUCGCAUAUAAUCAUGUGAAUGAAAUCAUGCAUGCACAACACCCUUGUAAAAGCGUAUAAUGCACACAAUAUCGUACCUGUUCAUCCAGUUGCAGUACAGUUUCUUUCAGGUGUCCAGCGUUCAUCAGAGUGGCAGCAACUGCGUGGAUAUGCUUGCAAAGACCAAGCCUCACUGUGUUGUCGAUACAUGUGCAAGUGAAGUUGUGGACACAUAUGACACAUUUUGGACACCUGAAGCUGCAUGUCGAUGAAGUACAGUCAGUGUUUGGCUCCUGUGUCACAGUGUACGACACACCCUCAGAAGACUGUGACUUCACUGACCAUUGGAUUCCAGUUCUUUCUUUUAUGGCACCAAAGAAGAUCUUCAUGGCUACAUAGUCUGUGCGACUUGUGAUGCAGAAAGCGCAAGGAAACCUGCUGCCAAACUCGUCAACACAUAGGAGCGUCACAAGUUCAAAGUCGAAACCUAUGGGGAUGACAGACACAGGGUGUAUGCGGUCAAGGGUUCCAUCGAGGUUGUUGCGUAUGCCAUCCAAGACAGCGUCCAUGGUCACGCCUUCUUGCAGUUUUGCUGAAAAAAAGGUUAUACUUUAUAGUACAUGCAACAAAGGCUGAAACCACCUAUUUUUGUGUGUUAUGUGCCUGCAAGGGUCACUAGGUAACAUCUUCAUAGUGAAAACUUAAUUAGCAAUGGAUACUAAAAAGUAGUUCUCAAUAUUGUGCAUGUAAAUCAUAAGUUUUCAUAUGGUUGUCUCUUGGUAUAUGUUAUAAUACUGAUUGUACAUUUUGUUACCUGCAAUACCCGCCUUUUCAGUUGUAGACAAAGUAGUGUGGCACAACUCAAAAUUGUGCCCCAGGUGUGAACUCUGGUAAUUCACUCUCACUUCUGUACCAUCCUUGCAGACUGUCAUGUGUGCUAGACAUGUCCCACCAGUUUUAACACUGCCUUGGGACUUCAACUGUCUUGCACCUGUGCCUGUAAGGGACAAUUAAUGAAUUGGAAUAAAAUACAACUUUUCAAUAUA